GACGAACGCUGGCGGCGUGCCUAAUACAUGCAAGUAGGACGCAGUUGCGAACGGGUGAGUCACGCGUAGGUAACUACCUAUUAGAGGGGGAUAACUAUUGGAAACGAUAGCUAAUACCGCAUACUAGUAGAUGGACCUGCGUUGUAUUAGCUAGUAGGUAGGGUAAUGGCCUACCUAGGCAACGAAACAUUCCCGACCGUGGAGGGGGAUCGGACAAACGGUGCACGAGGAACGGCCCAGACUCCUCCAGGAGGAAGGAGUAGGUAAUCUUCGGAAAUGGGUGGAACCCUGACCGAGCAACGCCGCGUGAAUGAAGAAGGUUUUCGGAUCGUAAAGCUCUGUUGUUAAGGAAGCGGUACUUAACCAGAAAGGGACGGCUAACUACGUGCCAGCAGCCGCGGUAAUAC
rnacentral:rRNA from 1 species